rnacentral:rRNA from 1 species
UACGUAGGGACCGAGCGUUGUCCGGAAUCAUUGGGCGUAAAGAGCGUGUAGGCGGCUUGCUAAGUCUUGCGGUGAAAACUCGGGGCUUAACCCCGGGCCUGCAGUGGGUACGGGCAGACUAGAGUGCGGUAGGGGAGACUGGAAUUCUCGGUGUAGAGGUGAAAUUCGUAGAUAUCGAGAGGAACACCGGUGGCGAAGGCGGCCAACUGGACGAAAUACUGACGCUGAGACUCGAAAGCGUGGGGAGCAAACAGG